rfam:Toxocara canis scaffold1930, whole genome shotgun sequence.
CGGGCAAUAGCUCAGUGGUGAGCCACCGUUUCCUAUGCGGAAAGACCUGGGUUCGAUUCCCAGCUACUUAC